rnacentral:rRNA from 1 species
GGUUGAUUAUGGCUCAGAUUGAACGCUGGCUGGAUGCUUUACACAUGCAAGUCGAACGGCAGCACGGACUUCGGUCUGGUGGCGAGUGGCGAACGGGUGGGUAAUGUAUCGGAACGUGCCUAGUAGCGGGGGAUAACUACGCGAAAGCGUAGCUAAUACCACAUACGCCCUUCGGGGAAAGCGGGGGACCUUCGGGCCUCACUUAUUAGAGCGGCCGAUAUCGGAUUAGCUAGUUGGUGGGGUAACGGCUCUGGGCGACGAUCCGUAGCUGGUUUGAGAGGACGACCAGCCACACUGGGACUGAGACACGGCCCAGACUCCUACGGGAGGCAGCAGUGGGGAAUUUUGGACAAUAAAGGAAACCCUGAUCAGCCAUCCCGCGUGUGCGAUGAAGGCCUUCGGGUUGUAAAGCACUUUUGGCAGGGAGAGAAACGGCACGGGAUAAUACCCGAUGCAACUGACAGUACCUGCAGAAUAAGCACCGGCUAACUACGUGCCAGCAGCCGCGGUAAUACGUAGGGUGCAAGCGUUAAUCGGAAUUACUGGGCGUAAAGCGUGCAGGCGGUUCGGAAAGAAGAUGUGAAAUCCCAGGCUUAACUUUGGAACUGCAUUUUUAACUACCGAGCUAGAGUGUGUCAGAGGGAGGUGGAAUUCCGCGUGUAGCAGUGAAAUGCGUAGAUAUGCGGAGGAACACCGAUGGCGAAGGCAGCCUCCUGGGACAACAUGACGCUCAUGCACGAAAGCAUUAAGGAGCAAACAGGAUUAGAUACCCUGGUAGUCGCCUAAACGAUGUCAACAGCUGUUGGGGCCUUCGGGCCUUGGUAGCGCAGCUAACGCGUGAAGUUGACCGCCUGGGAGUACGGUCGCAAGAUUAAAACUCAAAAUUGACGGGGACACACAAGCAGUGGAUGAUGUGGAUUAAUUCGAUGCAACGCGAAAAACCUUACCUACCCUUGACAUGUCUGGAAUCCCGAAGAGAUUUGGGAGUGCUCGCAAGAGAACCGGAACACAGGUGCUGCAUGGCUGUCGUCAGCUCGUGUCGUGAGAUGUUGGGUUAAAGUCCGCAACGAGCGCAACCCUUGUCAUUAGUUGCUACGAAAGGGCACUCUAAUGAGACUGCCGGUGACAAACCAGCGGAGGAAGGUGAAAGGAUGACGUCAGAGUCCUCAUGGCCCUUAUGGGUAGGGCUUCACACGUCAUACAAUGGUCGGGACAUGAGGGUCGCCAACCGCGAGGGAGCCGUCCCAGAAACCCGAUCGUAGUCCGGAUCGCAGUCUGCAACUCGACUGCGUGAAGUCGGAAUCGCUAGUAAUCGCGGAUCAGCAUGUCGCGGUGAAUACGUUCCCGGGUCUUGUACACACCGCCCGUCACACCAUGGGAGUGGGUUUUACAGAAGUAGUUAGCCUAACCGUAAGGAGGGCGAUUACCACGGUAGGAUUCAUGACUGGGGUGAAGUCGUAACAAGGUAG